UACGGGGGGGGCAAGCGUUGUUCGGAAUUACUGGGCGUAAAGGGCUCGUAGGCGGCCCACUAAGUCCGACGUGAAAUCCCUCGGCUUAACCGGGGAACUGCAUCUGAUACUGGAUGGCUUGAGUUCGGGAGAGGGAUGCGGAAUUCCAGGUGUAGCGGUGAAAUGCGUAGAUAUCUGGAGGAACACCGGUGGCGAAGGCGGCAUCCUGGACCGACACUGACGCUGAGGAGCGAAAGCCAGGGGAGCAAACAGG
rnacentral:rRNA from 1 species